rnacentral:rRNA from 1 species
GACGAACGCUGGCGGCGUGCUUAACACAUGCAAGUCGAACGGAAAGGCCCCUUUGGGGGUACUCGAGUGGCGAACGGGUGAGUAACACGUGAGUAACCUGCCCUUGACUUCGGGAUAACUUCAGGAAACUGGGGCUAAUACCGGAUAGGAAUCCUUGCUGCAUGGUGGGGGUUGGAAAGCUUCGGCGGUUUUGGAUGGACUCGCGGCUUAUCAGCUUGUUGGUGGGGGAGUGGCUUACCAAGGCUUUGACGGGUAGCCGGCCUGAGAGGGCGACCGGCCACAUUGGGACUGAGAUACGGCCCAGACUCCUACGGGAGGCAGCAGGGGGGAAUAUUGCACAAUGGGCGGAAGCCUGAUGCAGCAACGCCGCGGGCGGGAUGACGGGCUUCGGGUUGUAAACCGCUUUCAGCAGGUGCGAAGCUUGUGGUGACGGUACCUGCAGAAGAAGCACCGGCUAACUACGUG